rnacentral:rRNA from 1 species
UACGUAGGGUGCGAGCGUUGUCCGGAAUUACUGGGCGUAAAGAGCUCGUAGGUGGUUUGUCGCGUUGUCCGUGAAAACUCACAGCUCAACUGUGGGCGUGCGGGCGAUACGGGCAGACUGGAGUACUGCAGGGGAGACUGGAAUUCCUGGUGUAGCGGUGGAAUGCGCAGAUAUCAGGAGGAACACCGGUGGCGAAGGCGGGUCUCUGGGCAUGUCCUGACGCUGAGGAGCGAAAGUGUGGGGGAGCGAACAGG